CAGAACGAACGCUGGCGGCGCGUUUAAGCAUGCAAGGUCGAGCGGCAGGGGGGCUCGGUCCCCCGAGAGCGGCGGACGGGUGAGUAACACGUGGACAACCUGCCCCCCGGUUCGGGAUAGCCCAGGGAAACCUGGAUCAAUACCGGAUGCGAGGGCGGCCGCACAAGCGGCCGUCGGGAAAGGCGCUUCGGCGCCGCCGGGGGAUGGGUCCGCGUCCCAUUAGCUAGGCGGUGGGGUAACGGCCCACCGUGGCGAUGAUGGGUAGCCGGCCUGAGAGGGUGGACGGCCACAUUGGAACUGAGACACGGCCCAAACUCCUACGGGAGGCAGCAGCUAAGAAUAUUCCGCAAUGGACGAAAGUCUGACGGAGCGACGCCGCGUGGAAUGACGAAGGCCGAAAGGUUGUAAAAAUCCUUUUGCUGAUGAAGAAUAAGCGUGGUAGGGAAUGACCGCGUGAUGACAUUAGUCGGUGAAUAAGCCCCGGCUAACUACGUGCCAGCCGCCGC
rnacentral:rRNA from 1 species